UUAAGCGACUAAGCGUACACGGUGGAUGCCCUGGCAGUCAGAGGCGAUGAAGGACGUGCUAAUCUGCGAAAAGCGUCGGUAAGGUGAUAUGAACCGUUACAGCCGGCGAUGUCCGAAUGGGGAAACCCAGUGCAAUUCGUUGCACUAUCGUUAACUGAAUACAUAGGUUAACGAGGCGAACCGGGGGAACUGAAACAUCUAAGUACCCCGAGGAAAAGAAAUCAACCGAGAUUCCCCCAGUAGCGGCGAGCGAACGGGGAGCAGCCCAGAGUCUGAAUCAGCUUGUGUGUUAGUGGAACGGUCUGGAAAGUCCGACGGUACAGGGUGAUAGUCCCGUACACCAAAAUGCACAGGUUGUGAACUCGAAGAGUAGGGCGGGACACGUGGUAUCCUGUCUGAAUAUGGGGGACCAUCCUCCAAGGCUAAAUACUCCUGACUGACCGAUAGUGAACCAGUACCGUGAGGGAAAGGCGAAAAGAACCCCGGCGAGGGGAGUGAAAAAGAACCUGAAACCGUGUACGUACAAGCAGUGGGAGCACCUUCGGGUGUGACUGCGUACCUUUUGUAUAAUGGGUCAGCGACUUAUAUUCUGUAGCAAGGUUAACCGUAUAGGGGAGCCGCAGGGAAACCGAGUCUUAACUGGGCGUUAAGUUGCAGGGUAUAGACCCGAAACCCGGUGAUCUAGCCAUGGGCAGGUUGAAGGUUGGGUAACACUAACUGGAGGACCGAACCGACUAAUGUUGAAAAAUUAGCGGAUGACUUGUGGCUGGGGGUGAAAGGCCAAUCAAACCGGGAGAUAGCUGGUUCUCCCCGAAAGCUAUUUAGGUAGCGCCUCGUGAAUUCAUCUUCGGGGGUAGAGCACUGUUUCGGCUAGGGGGUCAUCCCGACUUACCAACCCGAUGCAAACUACGAAUACCGAAGAAUGUUAUCACGGGAGACACACGGCGGGUGCUAACGUCCGUCGUGAAGAGGGAAACAACCCAGACCGCCAGCUAAGGUCCCAAAGUCAUGGUUAAGUGGGAAACGAUGUGGGAAGGCACAGACAGCCAGGAUGUUGGCUUAGAAGCAGCCAUCAUUUAAAGAAAGCGUAAUAGCUCACUGGUCGAGUCGGCCUGCGCGGAAGAUGUAACGGGGCUAAACCAUGCACCGAAGCUGCGGCAGCGACACUAUGUGUUGUUGGGUAGGGGAGCGUUCUGUAAGCCUGCGAAGGUGGCCUGUGAGGGUUGCUGGAGGUAUCAGAAGUGCGAAUGCUGACAUAAGUAACGAUAAAGCGGGUGAAAAGCCCGCUCGCCGGAAGACCAAGGGUUCCUGUCCAACGUUAAUCGGGGCAGGGUGAGUCGACCCCUAAGGCGAGGCCGAAAGGCGUAGUCGAUGGGAAACAGGUUAAUAUUCCUGUACUUGGUGUUACUGCGAAGGGGGGACGGAGAAGGCUAUGUUAGCCGGGCGACGGUUGUCCCGGUUUAAGCAUGUAGGCUGGUUAUCCAGGCAAAUCCGGAUAAUCAAGGCUGAGGUGUGAUGACGAGGCACUACGGUGCUGAAGUAACAAAUGCCCUGCUUCCAGGAAAAGCCUCUAAGCAUCAGGUAACAUUAAAUCGUACCCCAAACCGACACAGGUGGUCAGGUAGAGAAUACCAAGGCGCUUGAGAGAACUCGGGUGAAGGAACUAGGCAAAAUGGUGCCGUAACUUCGGGAGAAGGCACGCUGGUGUGUAGGUGAAGUCCCUGCGGAUGGAGCUGAGACCAGUCGAAGAUACCAGCUGGCUGCAACUGUUUAUUAAAAACACAGCACUGUGCAAACACGAAAGUGGACGUAUACGGUGUGACGCCUGCCCGGUGCCGGAAGGUUAAUUGAUGGGGUUAUCCGUAAGGAGAAGCUCUUGAUCGAAGCCCCGGUAAACGGCGGCCGUAACUAUAACGGUCCUAAGGUAGCGAAAUUCCUUGUCGGGUAAGUUCCGACCUGCACGAAUGGCGUAAUGAUGGCCAGGCUGUCUCCACCCGAGACUCAGUGAAAUUGAACUCGCUGUGAAGAUGCAGUGUACCCGCGGCAAGACGGAAAGACCCCGUGAACCUUUACUAUAGCUUGACACUGAACAUUGAGCCUUGAUGUGUAGGAUAGGUGGGAGGCUUUGAAGCGUGGACGCCAGUCUGCGUGGAGCCAACCUUGAAAUACCACCCUUUAAUGUUUGAUGUUCUAACGUUGGCCCCUGACCGGGGUUGCGGACAGUGUCUGGUGGGUAGUUUGACUGGGGCGGUCUCCUCCCAAAGCGUAACGGAGGAGCACGAAGGUUAGCUAAUCCUGGUCGGACAUCAGGAGGUUAGUGCAAUGGCAUAAGCUAGCUUGACUGCGAGCGUGACGGCGCGAGCAGGUGCGAAAGCAGGUCAUAGUGAUCCGGUGGUUCUGAAUGGAAGGGCCAUCGCUCAACGGAUAAAAGGUACUCCGGGGAUAACAGGCUGAUACCGCCCAAGAGUUCAUAUCGACGGCGGUGUUUGGCACCUCGAUGUCGGCUCAUCACAUCCUGGGGCUGAAGUAGGUCCCAAGGGUAUGGCUGUUCGCCAUUUAAAGUGGUACGCGAGCUGGGUUUAGAACGUCGUGAGACAGUUCGGUCCCUAUCUGCCGUGGGCGCUGGAGAAUUGAGGGGGGCUGCUCCUAGUACGAGAGGACCGGAGUGGACGCAUCACUGGUGUUCGGGUUGUCAUGCCAAUGGCACUGCCCGGUAGCUAAAUGCGGAAGAGAUAAGUGCUGAAAGCAUCUAAGCACGAAACUUGCCCCGAGAUGAGUUCUCCCUGAGACUUUAAGUCUCCUGAAGGAACGUUAAAGACGAUGACGUUGAUAGGCCGGGUGUGUAAGCGCAGCGAUGCGUUGAGCUAACCGGUACUAAUGAACCGUGAGGCUUAACCUU
rnacentral:rRNA from 1 species